UACGUAGGGGGCAAGCGUUAAUCGGAAUCACUGGGCGUAAAGGGCGCGUAGGCGGCUUUAUAAGUCGGGGGUGAAAGCCUGUGGCUCAACCACAGAAUUGCCUUCGAUACUGUAUGGCUUGAGACCGGAAGAGGUUAGUGGAACUGCGAGUGUAGAGGUGAAAUUCGUAGAUAUUCGCAAGAACACCAGUGGCGAAGGCGGCUGACUGGUCCGGUUCUGACGCUGAGGCGCGAAAGCGUGGGGAGCAAACAGG
rnacentral:rRNA from 1 species